rnacentral:rRNA from 1 species
AUUGAACGCUGGCGGAAUGCUUUACACAUGCAAGUCGAGCGGCAGCGCGGGGCAACCUGGCGGCGAGCGGCGAACGGGUGAGUAAUGCAUCGGAACGUACCCAGUCGUGGGGGAUAACUGUCCGAAAGGACAGCUAAUACCGCAUACGUCCUGAGGGAGAAAGCGGGGGAGUCGCAAGACCUCGCGCGAUUGGAGCGGCCGAUGCCGGAUUAGCUAGUUGGUAGGGUAAAGGACCUACCAAGGCGACGAUCCGUAGCUGGUCUGAGAGGACGACCAGCCACACUGGAACUGAGACACGGUCCAGACUCCUACGGGAGGCAGCAGUGGGGGAAUUUUUGGACAAUGGGGGCGAACCCCUCGAUCCAGCCAUUCCGUCCGUGAGUGAAG